UACAGAGGGUGCAAGCGUUAAUCGGAAUUACUGGGCGUAAAGCGUGCGUAGACGGUUACGUAAGUCAGAUGUGAAAGCCCCGGGCUCAACCUGGGAAUUGCAUUUGAGACUGCGUAGCUAGGGUGCGGAAGAGGGAAGCGGAAUUUCCGGUGUAGCGGUGAAAUGCGUAGAUAUCGGGAGGAACACCUGUGGCGAAGGCGGCCCCCUGGUUGGAUACUGACGCUGAUACGCGAAAGCGUGGGGAGCAAACAGG
rnacentral:rRNA from 1 species